rnacentral:rRNA from 1 species
AGCGAACGCUGGCGGCAGGCUUAACACAUGCAAGUCGAACGGGCAUCUUCGGAUGUCAUUGGCAGACGGGUGAGUAACACGUGGGAACGUACCCUUCGGUUCGGAAUAACUCAGGGAAACUUGAGCUAAUACCGGAUACGCCCUUUUGGGGAAAGGUUUACUGCCGAAGGAUCGGCCCGCGUCUGAUUAGCUUGUUGGUGGGGUAACGGCCUACCAAGGCGACGAUCAGUAGCUGGUCUGCGAGGAUGAUCAGCCACACUGGGACUGAGACACGGCCCAGACUCCUACGGGAGGCAGCAGUGGGGAAUAUUGGACAAUGGGCGCAAGCCUGAUCCAGCCAUGCCGCGUGAGUGAUGAAGGCCUUAGGGUUGUAAAGCUCUUUUGUCCGGGACGAUAAUGACGGUACCGGAAGAAUAAGCCCCGGCUAACUUCGUG